CAAAGAGAGCCAAGAAAAUUGUUUGUUACGCGAUAUAUACUCACUUGGAGCUAAAAGAAAAGCCACAAAGGACAAGUUCAAUAUGCAGGUUUACAAUUUGGAAGUGGCGCAGGUUCUUUGGAAUGUCUACAACCUUUCAGGAGAAUUUUUUUUUUGAAAAGCAUGGCACAGCAAGAAAAAGAUAUAUGACACUACAAGACAUUCCAAGUGAUUUUGAAUAAGACAAUUGAUUGACUUUUUCAAUGUAUUCUUAAAUAAAUCAAAUAGUCGAUGUAAAA